AUUGAACGCUGGCGGCAUGCCUUACACAUGCAAGUCGAACGGCAGCACGGGGGCAACCCUGGUGGCGAGUGGCGAACGGGUGAGUAAUACAUCGGAACGUGUCCUGUAGUGGGGGAUAGCCCGGCGAAAGCCGGAUUAAUACCGCAUACGACCUAAGGGAGAAAGCGGGGGAUCUUCGGACCUCGCGCUAUAGGGGCGGCCGAUGGCAGAUUAGCUAGUUGGUGGGGUAAAGGCCUACCAAGGCGACGAUCUGUAGCUGGUCUGAGAGGACGACCAGCCACACUGGGACUGAGACACGGCCCAGACUCCUACGGGAGGCAGCAGUGGGGAAUUUUGGACAAUGGGGGCAACCCUGAUCCAGCAAUGCCGCGUGUGUGAAGAAGGCCUUCGGGUUGUAAAGCACUUUUGUCCGGAAAGAAAACUUCGUCCCUAAUAUGGAUGGAGGAUGACGGUACCGGAAGAAUAAGCACCGGCUAACUACGUGCCAGCAGCCGCAGUAAGAC
rnacentral:rRNA from 1 species